rnacentral:rRNA from 1 species
AACGAACGCUGGCGGCAGGCCUAACACAUGCAAGUCGAACGCCGUAGCAAUACGGAGUGGCAGACGGGUGAGUAACGCGUGGGAACGUGCCCUUCAGUUCGGGAUAACCCAGGGAAACUUGGACUAAUACCGGAUACGUGCGAGAGCAGAAAGAUUUAUCGCUGAAGGAUCGGCCCGCGUCCGAUUAGCUAGUUGGUGAGGUAAUGGCUCACCAAGGCGACGAUCGGUAGCUGGCUGAGAGGAUGAUCAGCCACACUGGGACUGAGACACGGCCCAGACUCCUACGGGAGGCAGCAGUGGGGAAUAUUGGACAAUGGGCGCAAGCCUGAUCCAGCCAUGCCGCGUGAGUGAUGAAGGCCCUAGGGUUGUAAAGCUCUUUCGCCAGGGACGAUAAUGACGGUACCUGGAUAAGAAGCCCCGGCUAACUUCGUGCCAGCAGCCGCGGUAAU